rnacentral:lncRNA from 1 species
AAUAGAGCGAGAGUUUGAGAUUUUAACUGGACAGUGUAAGUUAGGCAUUAAUUCUAGAUCAGGGCGAGAGCAAGUUUUAGAGUUAAUUAAAUUCUGACCUUUUCCAAAAAGUAUUUUUAAAGAUUGAAUGUGAGGACGAGAGUUAAGCAUUUGGAUUUGAUUAUAUAACCUAAGUCAACAGAGCGAGAGUUUGAGAUAAGGGUGUUUAAAACGGUCAGUAUUUUCUUAAAAGGAGUUUCUGCAACUUUAUUGUUUUCAAAAUAUGGUUUUUGACUUAAUUAUAAGUGACAGCUACAUUAAUAUAAAAUCAUGGUUUAUUCAACAGAGCGAGAGUUUGAGAUAAAACCUUUAACCAAUAAAGUUAACCGAAACGAUUCAUUUUAAAACCAAGAAACCGACAAAGACUUGAUUCCCUAGUUU